GAUUAUGGCUCAGAACGAACGCUGGCGGCGCGUCUUAAGCAUGCAAGUCGAGCGGUAAGUUGGAAGCUUGCUUCUAACCUAGAGCGGCGGACUGGUGAGUAACGCGUGGGUGACGUACCCUUUUUGACGGGGAUAGCCUGUGGAAACACUGGGGUAAUACCGGAUAAGCUGGCUUGUGUCAGAGGCAAGUCAGGAAAGGUUCUUUUGAACCGCGAAAGGAGCGGCCCGCGUGCUAUUAGUUAGUUGGCGGGUAACGGCCCACCAAGACGACGAUAGCUACCCGGCCUAAGAGGGUGAACGGGCACAUUGGGACUGAGAUACGGCCCAGACUCCUACGGGAGGCAGCAGCUAAGAAUAUUCCGCAAUGGACGAAAGUCUGACGGAACGACGCCGCGUGGAUGAUGAAGGCCGGAAGGUUGUAAAAUCCUUUUGGGAGCGAGGAAUAAGGAAUCUGAGAGAAACGGAUUCUGGUGACGGUAGCUUCUGAAUAAGCAACGGCUAAUUACGUGCCAGCCGCCGC
rnacentral:rRNA from 1 species